rnacentral:misc_RNA from 1 species
AAGUGAUGAACUUUUCAUUUUUAAGGGUAGCCUCUUAUGCUAUAAUUUGUGUUACUUUUUCUCUUUAUUUACUUGAACCAAAGCUGGUCAUGUGUUAGUUGUGAGAAGCAGAAGAGAAUUUUGGAAACUUGAAAGCUUUGAACUCAUGUUCAUUAGUAAUAGGCGGACAAAAAAUUUUGUUGCGUUAGCCUUGACUUUCUUGUUUUGGUGGAAUUUAUCCCCUGUAAGUGUACAUAAA